rnacentral:lncRNA from 1 species
UGAUUUUUGAAACGGUUGGAAUUCAACAAGGCCUAAGCAGCGGAGCAAGAAAGCCUUAUCGGUCAUAAUGGCCUCUUGCCCCACCGCCUUUUUCUGCAACCACGCAGCAACAGCAGCACCGUGGUCAUCUUCCAGAACCGGAACCAGAAGAAGUUUCUGUAGACGGAGCUCUGUGAAAGCAACCAUCAAUGCCAAGCUCGACCAGAAGACGUCGUUGCAGUACAAGAAGCUCGGAGACUCAGACCUUGUAAUUAGCGAAAUCACUCUGGGAACCAUGACAUUCGGCGAGCAAAACACAGAGAAAGAAGCUCAUGAGAUUCUCAGCUACGCAUUCGAAAAUGGGAUUAACGCUUUGGACACUGCAGAAGCUGUAAGUGCUUGUAGAUUGCUUGAAUUUUGUUGGCCUCAGUUUAAAUUUGUUUCGUUUGGGUUUUGAUUAAAGUUUAAAUCUUUUUUGUUUGUUGCAGUACCCAAUUCCAAUGAAGAAGGAAACUCAGGGAAGCACUGAUCGUUUUAUCAGCAGCUGGCUCAAGUCUCAACCCCGUGAUAAGGUACUUGAUGGUUAUGUUGUCACAUUGAAUUAGGACCAUUGAUUUGGUUGAAUGAUGUCUGAAUGUGCUGUCCUGGUUCACAGUGAUAACAAGGCAAGGAUCAUCAUUUUAACUCAUUACUAUGCUGUGUAAAUAGGUUAUUUUGGCAACAAAAAUAGCUGGGUAUUCGGAGAUGGCAAGUUAUCUGCGUGACAAUGCCACGGUCUUGCGGGUGGAUGCGGCUAACAUUAAGGAAAGUGUAGAGAAAAGCCUUAAGCGCCUUGGCACAGAUUACAUUGAUUUGAUACAAAUUCAUUGGUAAGUUUAUUGAUCAAACUUCACACAUUAUACAAACUUACAUGCUACAUUGUCACCUGGUUUGUGAUUUUUGUAGUAUCACUCACGAUGUACCCGUUCUGAUAUUUAACUCGAACUUUACAUGGACUCACACUCUAACUGCAAAAUUGUUCUUUUUUUCAUGACCCACUUGUGGUAUCACACAACUCAUCAAAUGAACUUAGGACUGGGCCAACUUUUUAGUCUGUUUUUUAUUAGACAUUUCAAGCGUCUUUUAACUCUACAUUUUGCUUGUAUCUAUGAACUGAAGAUCUUUUCUAUGAGGCAAACUCGAGUCCAUUGGUAUUUCAUGCUGUUCCAUUUUUGUUUUGCCCUCUCCUAAUCGAGCAAUCAAACCAAGCAUUCUGUUCGAAAACUUUUAAGACUCUAAAUGGAAAUUGGUCAUGUGACAUUCAUAUGAACACAUAACACAUCAUUGGACAAGUUUGUCAAUUUUUAUGUAUUAAAUUUACAAGUAACUUCCAUUCCCAUUGAAGAAACUAAGCUGAAAUAAUUAUUUCAUUUUGGAAAAUCAUUAAUUGACGUAGGUUGGGAGUGCAAGAAAUAAUGAUAAUAAUAAGUGGGUAACAGAAAAUGUAUAUUUCUCCAUUCAUUUGGUCUGGAACCCUUCCAUAUUGAUUCACAUUUCCAUUCUUAGAAUAACUUAAAAGCAGGGGUAAAGGCAAACUAAGCAAUAAACCAGCACAGUUACUUCUUUUUGAAUUUGAAGGCUUCCAAUUUGUCUCAUGAUAUAUUGGAAUGACUAGUGAAGAUGUUUGCUCUUUACUUUUCAGAAAAGAAUCUGGAUGUUAACUCGUUUAAGGUGGUGAUUUCCGGAAACUAAAGUAUUUUGUUUAAUCCAGGCCAGAUCGCUAUGCGCCACUAUUUGGUGCGUAUUCUUAUGAUUUUUCCAAAUGGAGACCAAGUGUGCCAUUCGUGGAGCAGCUGAAGGCUUUUCAAAAACUCAUUGACGAAGGAAAGGUAACAACUAUUCAAACCAAUGAAAGUUUUGACUUUCGGGUUCAACUGUAAAGCACCUGCAUCAGAGGUGGAAGUUAUAUAAAAACUAUUAAUUUUUUCAAGACUUGUUAUAAUGUGAAUUUAAACAUAGCAUCAUAGUUCUCUUGAGUUUGUCUUUGUGAAUUCCUAGUUGUGUCUGCAUCAAUGUAGAUGGAACAUACUGGGGAUUUAUGAGUUGGUACACUCAUAACUAGAAAAAGAGUGAAUCUUGAAAUCAUAACUUCUGGGAUGAUUCAUGAAUGUUACUAAAAAUUGGAGUGUUGCAUGCUCUGUGUAACUGCUUGAUGUCUCUAAGCAUCUUUAACUUACAUGAUAUAGAUUCCUUUUGAAUGGUAUAGGUACGCUACAUUGGUGUUUCCAAUGAAACUUCAUAUGGAGUGAUGGAAUUUGUACAUGCAGCUAAAGUUGAAGGACUACCAAAGAUCGUCAGUAUCCAAAACAGUUACAGUCUGCUAGUUAGAACUCGUUUUGAAAGUAAGUCAUAUUCUGAUGCUAUGAGCAGAUAAAAUCUUUUACCUUAAUAUUAGUCAGCUUGACAUAAAACUUGCUGUUGAUAUUUCUCUUUAGAUAGUUAUAUCAACUCCAUGAUGUGAAAAGGCUAGUUAAUACAUCAAAAUAUGUUUGAACUAAGUAUAAUAUACCUAAAAUGGUAAAGUAAAUGCCUCCAUUUUCUUUGAUUACUAAUUUGCAAUCUUAGUCCUUUGGGACACAUUUAAAUAAUACAAUAUGGUUCAUUAGUUGUUUCCUUUCUGUCAGUUUGUUUGACUGUCUUUAACCAAUCUUUGCUGAACUUGUUGAAAUUACAGUGUUUUACUUGUUUGAGUGCUAAGCUAAGUUAUACCUACCUCACUUGACCUAUAUCUUCUCAUGUAUUGGGAUGUCGACAUGGUUGGGCUGUGCAUCCAACCCGUUGCUUUUACUGAUCGACACCUUUGUUGUGUGCAUUGGAUAGAGAUGUUUACAUGAUGCCAUGUUUACCUUUUCCCUCCCUGUUUUUUGUAUGCCAUUCUCUUAACUUCAUUGAGUUUGAAAUUCUAUUACUUGAUUAUUUGCAGUUGAUCUUGUUGAAGUUUGCCACCCGAAAAAUUACAACAUUGGCUUACUGGCUUAUUCUCCACUGGGUGGUGGAUCUCUUACUGGAAAGUACAUAGAUAUCAAUUCCGAAGCUGCUAAAAAAGGGAGGCUGAACCUUUUCCCUGGCUACAUGGAAAGAUAUAACAAAUCUAUUGCCAGGGUAUGUUAAUAUUCAACAUGUCAUAUAGAUAAUAGAUCAUGUAGACUAAAUUCAAAUAAACACCAAACAUGCACGAUUAUUUAGUUAUUGUAUUAUCUAAUAAAAAUAUGAACUGCUCUGAUAUGGGGAUUUAUAAUCAGUGUUUACUGUUGAUUUGAAUAAAGCACUUGCUGACUGUUUACACUUUCAUUAGAAGAAAAUUUCAAAUUUAAUUUAAUCCCAUUAUUGAUACAAGUGCCCUUGUUUGCAAUUAAAGGCUAGGACUCCUAAUUAGAAGGCCUUUGAACUUAGCACCACCCACAAGUAGGUUGAUUGCUUCCAACUUGUCAUUGGAUAUAUUAAAAACCAUGGCCGGACAGCAGCAUGAAAUAUAGUUUGUACACUGGAUGUUUUGGAAAUAGUUGGUUUGCCUUGCUUGAUGAGUUACUUUAUGUUCUGGAUAUAGAUUGAUGAGGAUAAUUUCCAUUACAGCUUGUUGAUUUUCUGCCUUAAUGUUACUUUUUCUGUUUUCAGGAAGCAACAAUAAAGUAUAUCGAGACAGCCAAGAAGCACGGGCUAACUCCGGUUCAGCUUGCACUUGGGUUUGCACGGGACCGUCCAUUUGUGACAAGUUCAAUUGUUGGUGCAACUUCUGUGAACCAACUGAAGGAAGACAUUGAUGCUUUUCUGUUGACAGAGAGGCCUUUGCCACCGGAAGUGGUGGCUGACAUUGAAGAUAUUUUCAAGAGAUACAAAGACCCUACCAUUCUUUGAAAAAAGUAGCCUAGGAAGUGUAAUUAUUGUUUUCACUUCACAUGUCUGGUUUAGAUGACAAUCGAAGGUCAAUGAUAUCCCUUGUUUGACCUUGGGAAUUCCGGUUUUGUGUGGUGAGCAGAAGCAUGAGAUUAACAAGGCCUCGACUUCCUUUUCAGGAAUUUUCUGUAUCCUCCUUUGUUUUCUUUUUCUUUCGUUUCCUCUAAUUUGCGCAAGUGUUAUCUUCAUGCUUGAUAAACUGUCUAGGUUGAUCAGUAAGGCGGGGCGGGGUCUGUAUUUUUCGUUUCUUUCUUCUUUCCCUUUUCACCAAUGGGAGAGCCUGGGUUAACAUGCUCAAAUGGUGUCAUGUCGUGUUCAAUUUGGCUCACAUAUAUUAUGAGGUAAAGUUAGAAAAUUAG